rnacentral:rRNA from 1 species
UACGUAGGGCGCAAGCGUUGUCCGGAAUUAUUGGGCGUAAAGAGCUCGUAGGCGGUUUGUCGCGUCUGCUGUGAAAACUCGAGGCUCAACCUCGGGCUUGCAGUGGGUACGGGCAGACUAGAGUGCGGUAGGGGUGACUGGAAUUCCUGGUGUAGCGGUGGAAUGCGUAGAUAUCUGGAGGAAUACCGGUGGCGAAGGCGGCAUCCUGGACCGGCAUUGACGCUGAGGAGCGAAAGCUAGGGGAGCAAACGGG